GUCACCGCGCUCCGCUGAAUCCGCGUUUCCGGGAUUUCUCUGUAGGUGAGGCGGGAGGCUGGAGGGAGCUGAGCCCCCGGGGAGGGGGCCCGAUUCCGCCUCGCCGCGCCUCUGGCUGCUGGGCCGUGGGUUUUUCUCUUCUCCUGGGAGUAAGGAGGACGACGGCCCCUAACCCCUGAAUUAGCCUUCUAUUUCCAUUAGUGACUUAGAAGCUACCCGGCGCCUCAUCUGGGCUCACCUGAGCUGAGGAUCAGGAAGGGGAGGGGGCACAGUCAUUCCCUCGCGGACGCGGCGGGACCCCAGCGGACGGCUUUGUGCGGACUUUCGGCACCGUUAUGCCCCCCUAGCCCGACACCACCUGGGGCUGGCGCGCCACGUUACUGUUCAGGGCCAGACGCACCGCCCUGCCUGCUCCGGGGAGCCGGACCUCCGAUCCCGGGGAUGGGGGACCCCGAGACCUCAGACCCAACGGAGGGGACUCUGAUACCUCAGACCCCACGCGGGGACCCCGAGGCUUCAGACCCCCACAGGGUGACCCCGAGAUCUCAGACCCCCGCAGGAGUACCUCCAGACCUCAAAUCCCCAGUAAGGGAAUGAAAGAGACUUCGGAUCCCUGAGGCAGCAAAUCCCUGUAGGGGCAUCCCAGGACUCAGGUCACCGCGGGGUGAACCCAGACCUCACAUUCAGGCAAUCCCCAGGACGCCGAUCGGCUGGCACUACCCACUGUCCCGGCCACCCCCCCUGGAGCUCAAAGGCUUGGCCCUCCAGCUGCUCCACCCUGCCGGCAACCAGGCUCAAACCUGCAGCCCGCGGAUCCCCUGCCCCGGAAGCAACCAGAUUCGCGGGAGGUUACCUGACUGAUCCAAGGCAGUUUCUCACUCCGUUGCCCAGGCUGGAAUGCAGUGGUGUAAUCACAGCUCACUGCAGCCUCAACCUACUGGACUCAAAGGAUAAGAUCUGCUUUUAAUUAAUUUUUGUAUACGGUAUGGGAUAGGGACCAAAGUUCAUUUUUUUGCAUGUAUACAUAUCCAAAUGUUCCAGCAUCAUUUAUUAAAAAGUUAUUUUUGUCUCUACUGCAUUUCCUUUGUGCUUACAUCAAAAUCUGUGUUGCAUAUGUAUGUGUUUCAUUUUAGGCUUCCUAUUGUGUUCCAUUGAGCUAUUUGUCUUUUUGCUGCCAGCACCAUGCUGUUUUGAUUAUUGUAGCUAUAUAAAUAAGUGAUGAAAUCAGAUAGUUUAUGUCCUACAACUUUAUUUUUCAAGGUUAUUUUGUAUCUUCUAGAUUCUUCAGAUUUCCUUUUAAAUCUUAGAGUCGACUUCUCAUUUUGCACAAAAAAAUACUGCUGGGAUUUUGAUUGAGAUUGUGUUGACUCUACAGAUGAAUUUGGGGAGAAUUGACAUUUUAACCAUAUUGAAUCUUCUGACCCAUUAACAUUUAGGUCUUUUAAAAUUUCUCUGGCCAGACGCAGUGGCUCACGCCUGCCACUUUGGGAGGCCAAGGCGGGCCGAUCACAAGGUCAGGAGAUUGAGACCAUCCUGGCUAACACAGUGAAACCCCAUCUCUACUAAAAAUACAAAAAAUUAGCCGGGCGUGGUGGCAUGCGCCUGUAGCCCCAGCUACUUGGAAGGCUGAGGCAGGAGAAUGGCAUGAACCCGGGAGACAGAGCUUGCAGUGAGCAGAGAUCUUGCCACUGCACUCCACCUGGGGCAACAGAGCGAGACUCCAUCUCAAAAAAAAAAAAUAUAACUGUUGUUAGAUUUUAACCUAAGUAUUUGUUUUUUUAUUUUGUUUUUCUUUUUUUCUUCUUUUUUUUUUUUUUUUUUUUUUGAGACAGGAUCUCACUCUGUCUCCCAGGCUGAAGUGCAAUGGUGUGAUCAUGGCUCAUCUUGAAGCCUCGACCCUCCUGGGAUCAAGCUAUCCUCCCACCUCAACCUCCUGAGUAGCUGGGACUACAAGUACACAUGACCAUGCCCAAUUCAUUUUUUAAAUUCUUUGUAGAGGCGGAGUCCCACUAUGUUGCCCAGGCUGGUCUUGAACUCCUGGGCUCAAGCAAUCCUCCCACCUCAGCUUCCCAAAGUGUAGGGAUUACAGGCAUGAGCCACUGUGCAAGGUCUUGUGUUUUUUGAUAAUAUCGUAAAUGGUGAUUUUUUCAUUUGUUUCUGAUUGUUGCUAAUAUAUGGAAAUAUAGUUGAUAUCUGCAAUUGAUCUCAUGUCCUGAAAACUUGCUAAAUCUGCUUAAUAAUUUUUUGUACAUUCAAAAUGAUGUUCUACAGGUAGUCGUAUUGUCUAUGUUGGAAGGAAAGCUUUUCCUCAUUCAAUGUCGGUCCUGUGUUUGAAGACCUGCAAAUUAACUGAUAACAACAGGUUAACAGGAGAAAAGACAAGGUUUAGAGUAACUCACUAAAUAGAAAUAAAGGUUUAUAGAUCCACUUAACAAAA
ensembl:lncRNA MCPH1-DT MCPH1 divergent transcript